UACGAAGGGGGCUAGCGUUGCUCGGAAUCACUGGGCGUAAAGGGUGCGUAGGCGGGUCUUUAAGUCAGGGGUGAAAUCCCGGAGCUCAACUUCGGAACUGCCUCUGAUACAGCACGCCUUGAGUCCGGAAGAGGUGGGUGGAAUUCCUAGUGUAGAGGUGAAAUUCGUAGAUAUUAGGAAGAACACCGGUGGCGAAGGCGGCUCACUGGCCCGGUACUGACGCUGAGGUGCGAAAGCGUGGGGAGCAAACAGG
rnacentral:rRNA from 1 species